CAGCAGACACAUUCCAGCAAAUCAGCAGCAGACCCUCCCUCUCAGACCCUCCCACCUCCUGGACAGCAUUCAUUGUGAAGCUGCAUUCUUAGUGAGCUGUCCAGGAGGUGGGAGGGUCUGGGAGGGAGGGUCUGCUGCUGAUUGGCUGGAAUGUGUCUGCUG